rnacentral:tRNA from 1 species
GGGCAGGUACUCAAGUGGACAACGAGGCCUGACUGUAAAUCAGGUGGCUUCGCCUUCCCAGGUUCGAAUCCUGGCCUGCCCACCA